rnacentral:rRNA from 3 species
AAUCCAUAGGUUAAUGAGGCGAACCGGGGGAACUGAAACAUCUAAGUACCCCGAGGAAAAGAAAUCAACCGAGAUUCCCCCAGUAGCGGCGAGCGAACGGGGAGGAGCCCAGAGCCUGAAUCAGCAUGUGUGUUAGUGGAAGCGUCUGGAAAGGCGCGCGAUACAGGGUGACAGCCCCGUACACAAAAGCGCAUGUGCUGUGAGCUCGAUGAGUAGGGCGGGACACGUGGUAUCCUGUCUGAAUAUGGGGGGACCAUCCUCCAAGGCUAAAUACUCCUGACUGACCGAUAGUGAACCAGUACCGUGAGGGAAAGGCGAAAAGAACCCCGGCGAGGGGAGUGAAAAAGAACCUGAAACCGUGUACGUACAAGCAGUGGGAGCCCCACCACCAAAGCAUUCUCUGGUGUUGAAGGCCCUGCAA